CCACAAUGUCACUGUUGCUAAGCCCCC
rnacentral:piRNA from 1 species